rnacentral:lncRNA from 1 species
CAAUUUCCUGGCCCUCAAUAGUUGAACUCACUGCUUGGUGAUAGGUGAUGGUCUCGCCGCUCAGCUAUAGGUGAUGGUCUCACCGCUCAGCUAUAGGUGAUGGUCUCACCGCUUGGUGAUAGGCGAAAGUCCCAUCUGGGUCGCCAAAAUGUGUCCGGAAUUGGUGGGUUCUUGGUCUCACUGACUUCAAGAAUGAAACUGCGGACCCUUGCGGUGAGUGUUACAGCUCUUAAGGUGGUGCGUCUGGAGUUUGUUCCUUCUGAUGUUCGGAUGUGUUCGGAGUUUCUUCCUUCUGGUGGGUUCGUGGUCUCGC